rnacentral:rRNA from 1 species
GACGAACGCUUGCGACGUGCCUAAGAAAUGCAAGUCGAACGGGGGAGCAACCCCUAGUGGCGAACGGUCGCGUAACACGUGGGCAACCUGCCCUGAAGCGGGGGACAACAGUCCGAAAGGGCUGCUAAUACCGCAUGUGAAGGGGAAUGGCAUCAUUCCUUGUUCAAAGCUUUAUGCACUUCAGGAUGGGCCCGCGGCCUAUCAGCUUGUUGGUGGGGUAACGGCCUACCAAGGCUUCGACGGGAGCUGGUCUGAGAGGACGGCCAGCCGGAUUGGGACUGAGAUACGGCCCAGACUCCUACGGGGGGCAGCAAUUAGGAAUCUUGCACAAUGGGCGAAAGCCUGAUGCGAG